rnacentral:ncRNA from 2 species
GCCGGAAAAAGGGGGUGCCUCCGUGGGGGCGGCUGAGAUUAUACCCAAUGAACCUGAUACGGUCAAUACCGUCGUAGGGAUUUUUUCUGAGUAUAUU